rnacentral:lncRNA from 1 species
GGUCCCCGUGAUGCGGGGUGGUGACUGACGGCUCCGGGUCUGAGGGGCUCCUGCUUGUCAGGUUCUAGAUAUUCUGCAAUAUCAGCCUGUCAGCAUCUGGCUCAGGAAGGCUAUAGAGUAUAUUACAACAUGCAGAUAAGUGGAGGCCCUCAGAGGAUGGAUUCCAGGUAAUGAUAUUGUAUUGUCUAAAUUAAAAAUUAGUCUGAGGUAUGCAAACCUGAUGAAGUUGAUGGUCAGGACUCUAUUAGAUGGAACAGGGACAUAACAUUUACAGGACUUAGUACUCAGAAUGAACUGAGAUGAACAUAGUAAGAAGCGAUUGUGUCUUAGUUUAUAUAUAAUAUACCAUAAUGUUCUUUUUGUGAUCUAUUUUAUAAUCACAUUUUAUAUAUGUAAUGUGAUGAACAUAGUAAGA